GCGCAAAAGAAAAAGAUACGAAGAGGU
rnacentral:piRNA from 1 species